GCUCGUGUCGUGAGAUGUUGGGUUAAGUCCCGUAACCGAGCGCAACCCUUGUCCUUAGUUACCAGCACGUUAUGGUGGGCACUCUAAGGAGACUGCCGGUGACAAACCGGAGGAAGGUGGGGAUGGCGUCAAGUCAUCAUGGCCCUUACGGCCUGGGCUACACACGUGCUACAAUGGUCGGUACAAAGGGUUGCCAAGCCGCGAGGUGGAGCUAAUCCCAUAAAACCGAUCGUAGUCCGGAUCGCAGUCUGCAACUCGACUGCGUGAAGUCGGAAUCGCUAGUAAUCGUGAAUCAGAAUGUCACGGUGAAUACGUUCCCGGGCCUU
rnacentral:rRNA from 1 species